UGGGGAAUUUUGGACAAUGGGCGCAAGCCUGAUCCAGCCAUUCCGCGUGAGUGAAGAAGGCCUUCGGGUUGUAAAGCUCUUUCGGCAGGAACGAAACGGUCGUCUCUAACAUAGAUGGCUAAUGACGGUACCUGAAGAAGAAGCACCGGCUAACUACGUGCCAGCAGCCGCGGUAAUACGUAGGGUGCGAGCGUUAAUCGGAAUUACUGGGCGUAAAGCGUGCGCAGGCGGUUUUAUAAGACAGAUGUGAAAUCCCCGGGCUUAACCUGGGAACUGCGUUUGUGACUGUAAGACUAGAGUGCGGCAGAGGGGGGUGGAAUUCCACGUGUAGCAGUGAAAUGCGUAGAGAUGUGGAGGAACACCGAUGGCGAAGGCAGCCCCCUGGGUCGACACUGACGCUCAUGCACGAAAGCGUGGGGAGCAAACA
rnacentral:rRNA from 1 species